CGACCGGCGCACGGUGAGUAACGCGUAUCCAACCUGCCCACCACUUGGGGAUAACCUUGCGAAAGUAAGACUAAUACCCAAUGAUAUCUCUAGAAGACAUCUGAAAGAGAUUAAAGAUUUAUCGGUGAUGGAUGGGGAUGCGUCUGAUUAGCUUGUUGGCGGGGUAACGGCCCACCAAGGCAACGAUCAGUAGGGGUUCUGAGAGGAAGGUCCCCCACAUUGGACUGAGACACGGUCCAA
rnacentral:rRNA from 1 species